GGCUCCCGUAGGAGUCCGAGCGGAGCUGCACUUGCUGAUGGCGGUGGAGCCCGGCUCCCGUAGGAGUCCGGGCGGAGCUGCACUUGCUGAUGGCGGUGGAGCCCGGCUCCCGUAGGAGUCCGGGCGGAGCUGCACUUGCUGAUGGUGGUGGAGCCCGGCUCCCGUAGGAGUCCGGGCGGAGCUGCACUUGCUGAUGGCGGUUCCGUCGUGGGUUCCGGCUGUGGGUAUUUUAUACCCAACA
rnacentral:lncRNA from 1 species